UACGGGGGGGGGCAAGCGUUGUUCGGAAUCACUGGGCGUAAAGGGCGUGUAGGCGGUCAAGUAAGUGGAAUGUGAAAGCCCCCCGGCUUACCCGGGGAUCUGCAUCCCAAACUGCUUGGCUUGAGUACGGGAGAGGAUAGGGGAAUUCCUGGGUGUAGCGGUGAAAUGCGUAGAUAUCAGGAGGAACACCGGUGGCGAAGGCGCCUAUCUGGCCCGAUACUGACGCUGAGGCGCGAAAGCUAGGGGAGCAAACGGG
rnacentral:rRNA from 1 species